rnacentral:lncRNA from 1 species
GUUUUGCCAGGCCUAGGUUAAGCCAGUUUAUUUAUGGUUUUGGGCUCUAGGUGCAAAUAUACUAGACCCAAAUGGCUUGGCCUAAAGAUAUAUGAAGAUUAAGGAUAUAUAAUAUAUAAUAUAUAAAGAUAUAUAAAAUAUGAUUAUUGGGCAUGAUAUGAUCUAGGAGGAUCAUGAGACUUGAUAUAGAUCAUUUUACAUACUACGGAUGGAGAUAGUUAGGAUUUAGGAGCG